ACGGAGAAAAAACAAAACAAAAGGAAAACGGACAAACAAACAGACAAACAAACAGACAUAUAUAUAUAUAUAUACAUAUAUAUACAUAUAUAUAUAUGGAAAAAGAAAAAACAAACAAACGAACACAAUUAACAAAAAAUUACAAAAUACACAUAUGUAUCCAUUUAGUUAGACAAUAUCUAAGAAUACAUCAAUUUGCUCUCCCCCCUCCCCCCAACCCGUUUCCCUUCUUCUCAACCUUCACUAAACUGUCUUAUCUAUUUUUCUUCUUAAUUACGACUGCACCUUUCUAACAAUAUACCAUUUAUUUUAUUAUGCUUUUAACAUUUUCUUAUACGUUUUUUCUUAUUUCUUUUCCUUUUGUCUCCUUUUCCUCUUUCUCUUACUAUGCUUUCAUUUGAGCGUUUAAAUAUCCUGUAAUAGGUUUGGUUUUUCCGCCUGGCACUUAAUAUAAUCCAUAAAUAGUUUCCAAUUUUUCACACUAUCCUCUUUCUUUAUUCCCUUUACUUCCUCAUAUUUCUUAGCCAGAUUGCAAUAGUUCAACACCUUGAUUUGCCAUUCCUCCUUAGUUGGUACCUUUUGGGACUUCCAUUCUUUUGCAAUCAGUAAUCUUGCUGCUGCUGUGGCGUAGCUUAUCAAGCAUCUGUCCUGUGGCUUAAUGUCUUCCCCUAACAUUCCUAGUAGGAAGAUCUCUGGUUUUUUCUUAAAUGAAUAUUUCACCACUUUUUUCAGUUCCUUGUACACUUCCUCCCAGAACACCCUGAUGUGUUUACAUCCCCACCACAUAUGGAUAUAGGUGCCUAUCUCAUUUUGGCAUCUCCAGCAUUGGUUGCUAACGUCCGGAUACAUCUUUGCCAGCUUCUCCGGCGUUAGGUGCCAUCUGUUCUGCAUUUUUAGCAAAUUUUCUUUUAUAUCAUAAUUGGGGGUAAAUUUAGAGUCUCUAUCCCAUAAGUUUUCCCAUUUGUUCAUCAUUAUUGUCCUCCCCAAAUCUUGGCCCCAUCUAAUCAUUGAAUUUUUUGUCAAUUCUUCUUCCGUUUCCCAUGUGAAUAAAAUUUGGUAUAAAUUUUUUAUAUGAUUCUCUUUGGACCCCAAUAAUAUUUCCUCCAAUUUUGAUUUUUCUUUCUCGAAUCCGAUUUUUUUAUCUUCUUGAAACCUUUGGUUUACUUGAAAAUAUUGUAACCAACUGCUAAAAUAACUUUUGACUUCUGCAUAUUCCUUUAGUUUUAAUACUCCUUCUUUUUCCUCUAGGAGGAUUCUAUAGGUUGGCCACCUACCUUCCGUGUUGCGUCUUUUCACAGCCACGAUUUCUAGUGGGGAUACCCACCAGGGAGUUCUGGGUUCGAAGUGUCUUCUGUAUUUUUGCCACACUUUGUAUAGAGAUUUUCUUAUGAUAUUGAACAUAAAGAUGUUUUUUUUACUUACAUUGUCUCUCAAAAGGUACCAAUGCCACCCAGAGCGUAUUCCUUCUCCUUCCAAGUCCAACAACUCAUUGUUUUCUAGAUCCAUCCAGUCUUUAAGCCAGGUCAGGGCUGCCGCGUCAUGGUAUAGCUCAAUAUCUGGUAACCCGACCCCCCCUCUCUUCCUAUGAUCUAUCAUAAUUUUAUACCUUAUUCUUGGUUUUCUCCCAUUCCAGAUGAAAUUUGUUAUGUCCUUUCUCCAAUCCUUAAAAUGUUUUUCUUUGCCUAGAAUCGGCAAAUUCUGGAAUAGAUAAUUCAUUUUUGGGAUGACACACAUCUUAAUUAAAGAUAUUCUGCCCAUAAAAGAUAUCUUUAAUUUUUCCCAAGCUUCCAUUUUCUUUUUUAUUUCCUUCCAUGUGGCUAUAUAAUUCUCCUGUAUUAAAUCAAUAUUUUUAUUGGUCAUCCUGAUUCCUAAAUAUUUCAUUUUUUUAUUUAUUUUUAAUCCAGUUAUUUCCUGCAGAUUAUCUUUUUCAUCAUUUUCCAAAUUUCUCGUUAACAUAUUCGUUUUAUCAUAAUUUAGUUUUAAUCCUGCUAAUUUCCCAUAUUCUGUAAUUCUUAAUAACGCUUGAGGGACACUAAUUAGGGGGUCUUCUGUUGUUAUCACUAAAUCAUCAGCGAAAGCCCUGACUUUAUAAUUUCUAUUGCCGAUUAAUAUGCCUUUUAUUUUUUCAUCUUCCCUUAUUGUUUUCAAUAGCGAUUCCAACGUAAUUAUGAAGAGCAAUGGCGAAAGAGGGCACCCCUGCCUGGUGCCUCUUGUAAUGUUUAUAUUAUCUGUAAAUUUCCCAUUUAUUAACAAAUUAGCUGCACUUUGACAUGCUUUCGAACUGCUAGGUUGGCAGGUGCAGGGACCGAGCAAUGGGAGCUCACCCCGACCUUCUAAUCGGCAAGCCCUAGGCUCUGUGGUUUAACCCACAGUGCCACCCGUGUACUUUUGGGUAGCUUCUCUAAAAAGACAGCAAAGCUCCAUCCAGUGUUGGGUGGAGCAAGGAAUGUGACCCUUACUUUUGGACAACCGACUCCGUUCUAGUCAUACGUUUCUACACCCCUCAUCCCUUCAUCCUUUGUUCAGGGAAGAGGCACAACUAUAGUUUAAGAACAGGUUCCACCCAGGCAAAAAAACUUAAGGAGGGUGCAGAGCACUUAAGGAGGGGCAUGGCAUGAGGAAAGUCCUGAGGGCCACAGGUAGGAUGGCCUGGAAGGCCACAUUCAGGCCAAGAGUCUACUCCCCUGCAAUACAGUACAGCACUUUCAUAGAUGCUAACUUUGUGUUCUUUCAUUUACCAAAAGCAAAAAAAAAAGCGCCAAACAACAACUCUCAGAGCUAGUUCUGAGCUCACAGCUCACCAGAUGUCUUAACAGAAAUAGUACUUGCUUACACACACACUCCCUCACACACACUCUACAGUAUUUUAAACUGAUAACUUUGAUAGAAGGUGAGCAUAAUAACCAGUGUACAUUUGGGAUUCUCUUCUGUUUGGUAUGCUGUAGAAGCUUCUCUUAAAAUACUUCUAAGUAGUUUAAUUUGGAGGUCAGAGGCACCGGUACCCAGUUGCAUGGCUGCUACAGGUAAGCUUUCAUUUGACCAACAAAUAUAUGUUAAGCUUCGGAGCAUUUAUUAUAUGUUAAGCAUUGCCUCCUCUUUACUCAUGAAAAUUCGGCUGCCUGCAAUAGCAAACAAAUGCAUUGUCUCCUCCUGUCUCAGUUCCUAUGAGUUCUUGCUGUAGAAGCCUCUCAUGUGCUAACUGUCCACACUGGGUCUGGAAAGUGGUGCUCGUUCUGGGCAGCAAGCCAAGUCCAACUGGGAAGUGAUCUCUUUGUAGAUUUAACAGUUAUAGUUUUAAAGCUGGCUAGGUGCAAGAGUGUAUGUAAAGGUAAAGGGACCCCUGACCAAUAGGUCGUCACGGAUGACUCUGGGGUUGCGGUGCUCAUCUCGCUUUAACUGGCCGAGGGAGCCGGCAUACAGCUUCCGGGUCAUGUGGCCAGCAUGACUAAGCCGCUUCUGGCAAACCAGAGCAGCGCACGGAAAUGACAUUUACCUUCCUGCCGGAGCGGUACCUAUUUAUCUACUUGCACUUUGACGUGCUUUCAAACUGCUAGGUUGGCAGGAGCAGGGAGGUUAUCUGUAACCUGAGAACAACUCACAUGUGGGAACUUACUCAUGCGAAUAACAAGAAAUGGAAAUAAGUUGGGGCAGGAGCCUUCAAGGGGAAGCACCUUUCUGGAAAGCCCCCAGCAGUAACUAUCUUAAUACACAUCUGUUGCUAUUAAAGGGGCUGAAUUUUCUCCUGAUUAUCUGACAGAUCCCCCUCAUGUGCCCUGAAUUCUUAAAGUAGGAAAGUCUUUAGUGGAGUUUUGUAAUGCAAGCUUCAUAUCUGGCUUACUCCUGGAGUCUAGACUUAACGUUCUAUGGCUCUGAAAUCAGUAGGCAUGAUGACCCACUCUCACUUUUUGUAACUACAAGCUACUUUGCAUAGAUCUAUAUUGAUUGCGGAGCUGUGGAUAAAAACAAAGCUGAGCGGUCAACAUUUAUAGUUUUAAACUUUCAAGAUAAGGGGCAUAGCUCCCACAUCUGCCCUGCAAAAAUUUCCUUGCAUGCAUUGACACUGAGCAUCAACCAAUCAACACUAGAACUUUACUUAAUAUAGUUAUAUAGGGGAAGCCUGCCCAGCACCAAUAUUUAAAAAACAAAAAAUCCCAAGCCCAUGGCAUGCGCAGUGCUUAAACAUCCAUAUAGUGGCUACUUGUAGACUUCUGGUUCUCCGAUACGUUUAUGGUUCUUGGAAAUCUUGUGUGUGUGUGUGUGUGUGUGUGUGUGUGUGUGUGUUUUGUUUGUUUUUGAAGUUUUUAGUAUUGCUCCUUUUAUUCUGGAAUUUGAUAGAUAACAGUGGUUACACCUGACUUUCUAGAGCUUUUUAAUGCAGGGGAAAAAAGAAGACUGUCCAGUUGUAACACUUCAUUAGCCCAACCAAACUUGUUUAUUUGUAUUAUGUUAACGUACUAACUGUAAAGUGAUUGGCUGUGAGCUGCAGGUAUUUACAUUCCCAUCUGGAAUGGUACCAUAUACACUUUGCUAAGGAAGUCUUGAGUUCUGCUCAGGAGUGGGGCAUUGUUUAAUGCAAAGCCGUAAUACAAAGUGGGCUCCUGAACUUUAACAGCAGCAAUGUGUGUUGUUAACUUCUUGCAGUCUUUUGGGGGGAAAAGUAGUUAAGGUAUUUUUGACUGUUGUGUGGCUUACUGUAGAUAAAGGUUUUUACACAAUUUCUUACCAAGCAGUUGUUCAUUCUGUUAAUGGUAGCGUAUGAUUUGUGGCUCAGCGUGGGGAGAGGGAACCAUUCAGUAAAGAGAAUAAAGCUGCUUGUCAACUCUCAUUCCCAGUGUAGGCUUCUAGUCACUAUGAUGUUAGAGUAAUCUCUCUGGUUUGUGUAUUUAUCUCUAGUGUCAUCAGACAUUCUACUAAUACCUUUUGUUAACUUAAUCUCAGUGGUUCUGAUCAUUUUAGGAAAGUCUGAUCCAGCAAACAAUGAUAUAGGGAACUAACUACACUCUGUUGAGGCAGAGUCUUUAUAGAUAUUAAUUUCUCCACUAAUGCUUAGUCAUUAAAAAAACCAACCUGUUCUUCAGGAAUGUAAAGCAUAAAAGAAGCAAGGGUCAACAGUAACUAAUCUGUUCUGGUUGGAGCAUAAAGAGUCAAUGAUCUUUCUGUCCGAUUCAUCUAUUCAUGGUAUCCAAUUAGAGCAAGGAUUUCUGCUUGAGCCAUGGAACUUUCCCCCUUAUUGUUCUCCCUGCCCUCACCAGAUCUGCUCUUCAGAGUUGGGGGAACCCCUGUAACAGAUUAAGGGGCUGCAAAGUAGGAGAAGAGGGGGAAAGUUCCCUUGCACAUGCAUAAAUCUUUCUUCAGUGGAACAAGUUCUGUAGUGCAUUUCUUCAAUGGAACAAGUUUGAAACAUGCAUUUGGCACAAAUAGUUUGAUAGAGUGUAUACUGCAGAAGAUGCACCAGGUUUUCAAAGGAUGGCUAUGUUGUGAGAACAGAAGCUAAGGCAGAAGUAUGGAAUGUCCAUCUGAUGGGCUUCCAGGUGGUCCUUCCACAAUAUACUUUGCUGCGACUGGUUCUUGGUAGGCAAGAAUAAAUAUCUGAAAGCAAAUGCUUUCAUCAGAGUGUCACAAAUUUUGUAUUACCACCAGUUGCUAAACAUUUUAUUCUAAGCUUCCCCUGCCCUGUGGAAAACAACUUUGGUACAACUCUCACCAACAGUCCUGGGACUCUUUCUGGAAGGAAGGGAAUGGAAAGUGACAAUGGAGGAAAGAGGGAGGAGAGGUAAGCAACAGGGAAAGAAGGGGAAAGUGGCAUGGAGAAGAUGUAUAAGUAAGGGUGCCACGGGGAGGACUUGACACAGUACAAAAUCCUUCACUUUUUACUUAUAAUUUUCUCACCCACCUUGUGCUUUAUUAACCCUCAUGUCCAGCUACACAAAAAUGUAGUUCCCACUGAUCAGUCCUUACCCACCCAACUGUUUUUUAAAAAAUAAAUGCCUCUCUGCAUGUUAGAAUAAACUCUGACCUGACUGGCAUUUUUGAAAUUCCACUCAGACUAACAAUAAUGCAGAAAUAAAGGAUUAUUGAAAUAAAGGUCCUGCCACUUGUAGCUGAAAAGUAGUAGUACCACAAGAAAAAUGUCACGUCUGCUUUAUUGGUAGACGUAGAAGCAGCUAGGAGUGACAGAUCAAGCUUUUAAACACUUGCAUGAAUAAAAUAUGGGGGUGAGGAAGACGGUUACCGGCUUCUGUUAGCGCCCUCAUCCCUAAGUGUGUGUUUGUGUGGGCCUACAAUAAAGAUUUGAAGGGGGGAGCCUCUGAAUCUUAGCCUACAGACUGACAGAGUGUUCUUGACUACAGGCAUCUCCCUACUUGCACGUGGUCAGCAUGCGGCAUAUGUGUGCCCACUGACACACACGCCGAAAACAGCGCUGAAGGGGGAUGGGGCAGAAUGGACUGGGGCAGGGUUGGAAUGGGGGAAUCCCCACUUGCGUGCGUACCAGAAUGGAACCUCCACAUAAGUGAGGAUUCUCCAGUACUUACACAUGCACAAGCAUGGUUGCCCACAGUAGGUAGAAGUUGCUACAAUGUUGGCAGAGGUGGAUUUAGGGAAGCGCCACUGGUUUGGUCACCCUGGGCAUGGAGCCUUGAGGACACGGCAACCAUGAUUUAGAAUGGAGUGUGUGUUGGAAUGAAAUUGGUUCUUGGUCUCUUGGUUUCUCCUCCUCUUUUUGUAGGUUGAUGAUGCACUUCGAGUUAUUGGGCUGAAUGCGCAUGGGCAAGUGGUCUGUUAAAAUGUUGUUUCCUAGUGACUUUGUGGACGUACCUUUUGGAAUAGCCUUGCUAGUAUUUGAAAAAUAAAAUGCUGGUUCCAGUUGUUUAGAUUUAAUCAAACACAGAAUUAUACGCCCAUAAAUAUGUAUUGGAAACCAAGGAUAAGACAUCCAUAUAAAGUGAACUUGAAUCUGCCCAUGUGUGCUUUGGAGCUAUUCUCCUUAAGAUAGGUAGACUUGGGCUUGACACUAUGCUUCUGAUUAGGACAUGGAAGCAUACCCAGGAAAGUAAAGGCAGGAGGGGCAUUUUGCUUAUUUGCAGAAAAGAGGCCUGGAUCCUUCUUCAGUAUCUGCAGUGCUUGCCUGCCUUUACUGAGAGGAUAAGAGCAGUCAUAGAUAGCUGCAUGCAGAUUGCUGAUGUUACAACUAGCCAUGGGUUACAUUGUUAGCAGGUGGGGUAAGUGUCUGGGUAUUCUUGACUGUAUCCCAAACACAGGGGAUCUCGUUCCCAAUGUUUGCCACAUUGGCUGCCUUCAACCUGCUGCUGCUUCAGUUCUGCAAGGUAUCCCAGUGCUAAUUGGAUGCUGUAAGGAUACUGUAGUAUUAGUUGUUUUCUGUCUACAUGAAUCAGUUGUACUUUAUAAUUGUUCCCAGUAAAAGCUUUGCAAGAAUCUCUCUCUGUGUGUGUUUACAGCUGAGAAAAAAUUGACCUGUGACUUUGGCAAGGUGUACCAUCAUGCUUAUGAAAGGAUGUGGGACAUGAGGCAUAGACACUGAUUUUGUUUCCCUGGUAUCCUAUAUUUAUAAAUAUUAUGAAUCUAAUCCACUGUUCUUUUUUU